GGCGUCAGCCGUCAGCCGGAGCAGCAUCACCUUCAACCACAUCCCCACCUCCAUGAGAGUGUGACCCAUACACUUCCACUCCGGUGAACCGGUGUAUGAGACGCCAGAGUCAGAUCCAGACCGGGUCCCGUCGCUACACCUGGGUCACGGUGAAGGAAACACCAGACGAGCCGGACGCCUCUUGCUGUCUGCGCGGUCGAAGACGGAGAGGAAAGGAAGAUGGACGCUAGAGACGAGACCACCAGAGGAGCUGAGAGGAUCAGAGGUGCGGGGAGGCCGGCGGUCCGUCCCCGGACUGAACUGAGGUCUCUGCUGCGGUCGGCUCUGCAGAGUGAAACCAGGAAACAGCCUGAGCUCCAGAGUACGAGCCGGAUCUUCACUUUAUUAUGAUUCACCACAUUUUACUGAUGAAUCACGACUCAGUUCAGCCCAGACCCGAGUCAUGUGGACCGACAAUGUGUCCAUGCAGUUGUGCAUAAUUGUGGUUUAUUAGAUGUAUUUUUAUUUAUGUUGUGUUAAAUUUUGGUUGGUUAGAUCUCUAACAGACGAGGUGGACUGGAAUGAGCUACAAACAUGAAAAAAUUGUUUUAUUAUAUGAAAAAUAUUCAAGGUGAAAAACAAUUGAAUCGUAUGAGAGCAUCCAAAAAGCCAAACAAUAAAAGUCCAUAA